rnacentral:lncRNA from 1 species
AUGAGAUGAAAGAAGGCGCAGCAGUUGACUGGACAUCUAAGGGUAAAGCACUGUUCAGUGCGGGCUGCGCGAGCGGUACCAAAUCGAGUACAUGUCUGUCCGAUUCAAGUUUCUAGUAUGCACUGUAAUAACUGAAGUAUGUCAUGGUAAAAUUGUUGCAUGCGUGGCAGCUAUCAGCACCCCAGUCUUCCAGCUGCACUGCAUGAAUGGCAAUUCUCACUCCCCUUUGCUUACUGGAGAAUUACGUCGUCCGUUAGAUCUGACUUCGGUUCGAAGCAAAGGAAGGGAAUCGAAUUCAUAGUUGUAGUCAUUCUUAAUUGGGUAUGAAAGGCUCCCCUGAUGCAAGAUGCCUUACUAUUGCUUGCCUAUGUGGAAUGCUAAUACCGUACCUUGGUCCGAAUUCAAAUUGGUGGUGCAUGAUCAACAGAAAAUAAAUUAACCUCUACUUGAUAAAAAAAGAAUCGCGUUCAACUUUGUUUAGCACCGGGGAAAAUGCGACUGGCUUGAAAGAGAUAGGAGAAGAAAGGAAAAAAAAAACAGGUAGCAAAGAAGUAUGCAUGCACGGACACAUGACGCUGACACCUUUAUUUUCGGAAAUGGUCGCCGUCUCGAUCCAACGAGGGCGAGAGCUUAUACCAAGUCCAACAUUCCGUUGAUGUGGACAUGCUGUAGUCGAGUCAUAUGUUUCGAGAUGCUGAACAAUGUGGAAUUCGGUUGAUCAUAUGUUUUAAUUAAAAUCAGUGCUACUACUCCAUGCAUGCCGGC